GAAUUCACUAGUGAUUCAGGCCUAACACAUGCAAGUCGAGCGGUAGAGAGAAGCUUGCUUCUCUUGAGAGCGGCGGACGGGUGAGUAAUGCCUAGGAAUCUGCCUGGUAGUGGGGGAUAACGUUCGGGAACGGACGCUAAUACCGCAUACGUCCUACGGGAGAAAGCAGGGGACCUUCGGGCCUUGCGCUAUCAGAUGAGCCUAGGUCGGAUUAGCUAGUUGGUGAGGUAAUGGCUCACCAAGGCGACGAUCCGUAACUGGUCUGAGAGGAUGAUCAGUCACACUGGAACUGAGACACGGUCCAGACUCCUACGGGAGGCAGCAGUGGGGAAUAUUGGACAAUGGGCGAAAGCCUGAUCC
rnacentral:rRNA from 1 species